rnacentral:rRNA from 1 species
GAUAGAGAUGGGCUCGCGUGACAUUAGCUAGUUGGUAGGGUAACGGCUUACCAAGGCGACGAUGUCUAGGGGCUCUGAGAGGAGAAUCCCCCACACUGGUACUGAGACACGGACCAGACUCCUACGGGAGGCAGCAGUAAGGAAUAUUGGUCAAUGGGCGGAAGCCUGAACCAGCCAUGCCGCGUGCAGGAUGACUGCCCUAUGGGUUGUAAACUGCUUUUGUCCAGGAAUAAACCUUUAUACGUGUAGGGAGCUGAAUGUACUGGAAGAAUAAGGAUCGGCUAACUCCGUGCCAGCAGCCGCGGUAAUACGGAGGAUCCGAGCGUUAUCCGGAUUUAUUGGGUUUAAAGGGUGCGUAGGCGGCCUAUUAAGUCAGGGGUGAAAUACGGUGGCUCAACCAUCGCAGUGCCUUUGAUACUGAUGGGCUUGAAUCCAUUUGAAGUGGGCGGAAUAAGACAAGUAGCGGUGAAAUGCAUAGAUAUGUCUUAGAACUCCGAUUGCGAAGGCAGCUCACUAAGCUGGUAUUGACGCUGAUGCACGAAAGCGUGGGGAUCGAACAGGAUUAGAUACCCUGGUAGUCCACGCCCUAAACGAUGAUAACUCGAUGUUGGCGAUAGACAGCCAGCGUCCAAGC